rnacentral:lncRNA from 1 species
AUUGCAUAUAAUACAGAUGUUAAUCAUUUAGCCUUUUGGCGACCUGGAGAUAUCAAUUGGAAUAAAUUCCGCAUCGGUGACAGAGUAGGUGGAGUGUCCGAUAUGAUUUACUUCAAGGGCCAAUUUUAUCUUGUUACUUGGAGCGGUGCAUUAGGUAUUAUUGAUAUUCAAGGACCUAAUAGUGUUCCUCAGUCUAACGUAAUUUACCUUAACGAUGAUAACAAGUUGUUUCGACAACAUUCAACUCAGUUCUAUCUAGUUGACGUAAACGAUGCACUCUUACUUGUUGCCCGAUUUGGUAGAAGGCGUUCAAAUACUAGCAGGGCUCUCGAAACUAUUAAAUUUGAACUAUAUGAAUUAGAUGUAGUGAAAGGUAAUAUGAAAGAGAUUAACAACUUGGGAGACUCAACAAUUUUUGUGGGCUGUAAUGGAGCAACUUCUAUCGACUCCACUAAAUUUACAGGGGUGAUUAAGCCUAAUCAGAUAUAUUUUACUGAUGAUUGGUUUGAUCAAAACUAUCAUUUGGAAUGUGGCGGUGGAAAAGACAUGGGAUGUUAUAAUAUUCAAGAUGGAAAUAUUGAAUCUUUUUAUCCUGAAAUAUCACUAAGUCAUAUAUGUCCACCAACUUGGGUUAUACCAUCCUUAUGAGGAUGAGUUAUUGUGUGUGCUAUAUAUUCAGUUAGGUUAUUCAAUUUUAUUAGUUUUCUAACUUAUUUAAAAGUUAAGUUGUAGUAUUUGUUUUAUUUCAUAAUUUCACUCAAUAAGAACUUUAUGUUAUUUGCUUUAUUGUGUUGAUUUUUUUGUAGCAUGAUCGAUUUUAUUUUGAUUGACUUGGUUGCUUUGAUUAUUCGGAAAAAAAAAACUGAAACUUUUUGAUAAUUAGUCUUAUUAACAACUCCAAUUAAUCAGAAGGAAUUAUAUAUGUCACAAAAUUUCUCCGCCUAUUCCUUUCUAGUCGAGCCUCUUGGUCUAGGCUGGAUCAAGAGAGAAGUGCAUAAUCUCGUGAAUUUUCUGAUGUAAAUUGGACACUCUUUUUCUAUUAUUUCUUUCUUCUUACGUAUCCUUAAUAACAAGUUGGUUACACCUACAACUGUUCAUCUUAGGUAAGAUGAAAGAGGUGUGAACAAGGAUUUGAAUUUGUAUGUUAGCAUUAGUCAAAUAUGCGAAAAUCCAAUGUUUUAUUAUAUAACUUGUAAAGAAAUUAAAAAUAAAAUCACUUGUUUCUUGAUUACCUAAUAUGACCAGAAAAUUUGAUUACGUAUUCCAAAUCCUUGUUCACAUAAGAUUUGGUUUAUAAAUUUAUGUUUAUAAAUAUAAAAAGAAUGAGCUCCAAUAGUAACCUAUGGCGGACUGGGCAGGAUUGAACAACGACCUCCUUGUUGAGAUUGCAAAGCGUGUUAAAGUGAUUGAAGAUUUCAUUGUUUUUGGUUGUGUUUGUAAUUCAUGGCGAAAAGCUUCUACUAAGGACAAUUUUGAUGUGCUUUCUCCUCAACUUCCUUUACUAAUGCUCCCUCAGAAAGAUGAUUAUCGAGAAUUUUACUCUAUUUCCAAGGGUAAAAUUUCACGGAGAUUGUACCUCCCUGAGGCUAAAGGGCGAGAAUGUUUCCCAUCUCAUCAAAUGGGAUGGUUUUUCACCCAAUCAUUAGACGUUGGAGAAGAGGUCCGUUUGUUGAAUCCUUUCUCUGCUACCAAAAUUCAACUUCCUACCUUAAUUGAAGAUUUGGAGUAUCCCUACAUCAUAAAUGCUAUUUUAUCUGCCAAUCCUUCUUUUAUCUCAGAUUAUGUACUCGUCAUUUCAUAUCACACAUAUGUUGAACAAUUUGCUUUUUGGCGACCUGGAGAUAUCAAUUGGACUCAAAUUAACCUCACAAGAACAUAUGGUGGAGUGUACAAUAUGAUUUACUACAAGGGCCAAUUUUAUUUUGUUACUUGGACCGCUGAAUUAGGUAUUAUUGAUGUUCAAGGACCUGAGCCACGCGUAGACUCUCUCAAAAUUAACCUUAACGAUGAUAAGAAGUUCUUUUGCCAAAAUUCAACUCACUUUUAUCUCGUUGAGGUAAACGAUGCACUCUUACUUGUUGUCCGAUUUGGUAGAAGUCGUUCAAAUGCUUACGGGGCUCGCCACACUUUUAAAUAUGAAGUAUAUGAAAUAGAUGUAGUGAAAGGUAAUUUGAAAGAGAUUAACAACUUGGGAGAUUCAACAAUUUUCUUGGGCUUUAAUGCAUCAACUUGUAUCAACUCCACUAUAUUUACAGGGGUCAAGCCUAAUCAUAUAUAUUUUACUGAUGACUGGUGUGACGAUGGAGAAGACAUAGGAUGUUACAAUCUUGAAAAUGGAAAUAUUGAAUCUUUUUAUCCUGGAUUAUCACUAAAUUAUAUUUUCUCGCCAACUUGGGUAAUACCAUCAUUAUGAUGCCAACUUGGGAGGAGUUAUAGUGUGCUAUAUGUUCAGUAAAUUUUUUUGCAAUUUAUUAUAAUCUAGUAUUUUCUUUUCUUUUGUGAUUUCAAUCAAUAAGAACUUUAUGUUAUUUGCUUUAUUGUGUUGAACAUUGACUUGGUUGCUUUGAUUAUAAGUAUGAAAGAGAAGUGCAUGAUCUCGUGAAUCACUUGUGCUAUAAAUUUGAACGCCUAUUAGUGUUGGUGGCGCUGGUCCACGUUUGAGAGCUGGACUUUUGAGAACCAACAACAGUAAUUAUAGUGGAUUGACGUGGAGCAUUGUGUUUGAGAAAAAACUUGUGAUUGGUAAGCUUUUCAAACAGUUCAGCAUAUGAAAUUGGCGUAUCACGUGCUCGAAUUGCUGCAGAGAUUUCGCGAUAUUCUUGUCCAAGAUAUUGGGCCUGGGCCGUACCUAUUCCAAAUCCUUGUGAAUAUAGGAAAGUCCUGCUUUGUCUCCCUCCCUAUUAUAAAAUGCCCUCAAAUUCCUACCAUCUUUGUAUUUGCCCUAGAAUUCUCUUCAUCUUCUUCCUAUCUAUUAAGCUAUGACGGACUGGGCAGGAUUGCCCCAUGACCUCCUUCUUUUGAUUGCUAAGCGUGUUAAAGUGAUUGAAGAUUACAUUGCUUUCGGUUGUGUUUGUAAUUCAUGGAGAACCGCCUCUUCUAAGGACUGUUUCGAUCUUCUCUCUCCUCAACUCCCUUUACUAAUGCUCCCUGAUGAUGAUGAAAAUAAUUAUUAUCGAGAAUUUUACUCUCUUUCCAAAGGUAAAGUCUCACGCAAAUUAUACCUCCCUGACGCUAAAGGGCGAGAUUGUUUCCCAACUCAUCACAUGGGAUGGCUUCUCACCCAAUCAUUAGACGGAAAAGAGGUCAAUUUGUUCAAUCCUUUCUCCGCUACCAAAAUUCAUCUUCCAAACCAAUUCGCGUUAAGAGCUUUACAGAGUCCUGACGACUUAAUUGAAGAACCUGAGUUCUAUCGCCACAUCAAACUGGCUACGCUAUCUGCAAAUCCAUCUUUUACAUCUGAUUAUGUACUCGUAAUUUCAUAUGACACAGAUGUUAAUUAUUUGGCUUUUUGGCUACCUGGAGAUAUCAAUUGGACUCUAUUUGACAUGGAUGAAAGACAUGGUGGAGUCUGCAAUAUGACUUACUACAAGAGCAAAUUUUAUCUUCUUACUUGGGGAGCUGAAAUCUGGGUUGUUGAUGUCCAAAGUCGUGAUCGACGCGUAGAGUCGCACUUGAUUUAUCUUAACGAUAACAAGGACUUGUUUCGACAUUCAACUCAGUACUAUCUAGUUGUCGUAAACAAUGCACUCUUAUUUGUUGCCAGGUUUGGUAGAAAUCGCUCUAAUGAUAACAGUGCCGUGGAGACUUUUAAAUGUGAAGUAUAUGAAGUAGAUGAAAUGAAAUGUAAAUUGAAACGGAUUGACAACUUGGGAGAUUCAACAAUUUUUUUGGGUCUUAAUGGAGCAAUUUCCAUCGACUCCACUAAAUUUACAGGAGCGAUUAAGCCUAAUCACAUAUAUUUUACCGAUGAUUGGGAUGAGCAGAACUUAUCGUUGGAAUGUGGUGGUGGAAAAGACACAGGAGUUUACAAUCUUGAAGAUGGAAAUAUUGAAUAUUUUUAUCCUGAAUUACCACUAAGUUGUAUUUGCCCGCCAACUUGGGUAAUACCAUCAUUGUGAUGCCAACUUAUUCUGAUUGCAAAUCGUAUUAAAGUGAUUGAAGAUUUCAUUGCUUUCAGUUGUGUUUGUAAUUCAUGGCGAACAGUUUCUACCAAGGACAAUUUCAAUGUGCUUUCUCCCCAACUUCCUUUACUAAUGCUCCCUGAUGAUCAUGAAAAUAAUUAUUAUCGAAAGGUUAAUUUGUUCAAUCCAUCAGAACUGCUAUUUUAUCUGCUAAUCCUUCUUUUACAUCAAAUUAUGUACUCGUCAUUGCAUAUAACGCAGAUGUUAAUCAUUUAGCCUUUUGGCGACCUGGAGAUAUCAAUUGGAAUAAAUUCCGCAUCGGUGACAGAGUAGGUGGAGUGUCCGAUAUGAUUUACUUCAAGGGCCAAUUUUAUCUUGUUACUUGGAGCGGUGCAUUAGGUAUUAUUGAUAUUCAAGGACCUAAUAGUGUUCCUCAGUCUAACGUAAUUUACCUUAACGAUGAUAACAAGUUGUUUCGACAACAUUCAACUCAGUUCUAUCUAGUUGACGUAAACGAUGCACUCUUACUUGUUGCCCGAUUUGGUAGAAGGCGGUCAAAUGCUAGCAGGGCUCUCAAAACUGUUAAAUUUGAACUAUAUGAAUUAGAUGUAGUGAAAGGUAAUAUGAAAGAGAUUAACAACUUGGGAGAUUCAACAAUUUUUGUGGGCUGUAAUGGAGCAACUUCUAUCGACUCCACUAAAUUUACAGGGGUGAUUAAGCCUAAUCAGAUAUAUUUUACUGAUGAUUGGUUUGAUCAAAACUAUCAUUUGGAAUGUGGCGGUGGAAAAGACAUGGGAUGUUACAAUAUUCAAGAUGGAAAUAUUGAAUCUUUUUAUCCUGAAUUAUCACUAAGUCAUAUCUGUCCGCCAACUUGGGUUAUACCAUCCUUAUGAGGAUGAGUUAUUGUGUGUGCUAUAUAUUCAGUUAGGUUAUUCAAUUUUAUUUGUUUUGUAACUUAUUUAAAAGUUAAGUUGUAGUAUUUGUUUUAUUUCAUAAUUUCACUCAAAUAACAACUUUAUGUUAUUUGCUUUCUUGUAUGAUCAAUUUUAUUUUGAUUGACUUGGUUGCUUUGAUUAUUCGGAAAAAAACUGAAACUUUUUGAUAAUUACUCAUAUUAACAACUCCAAUUAAUCAGAAGGAAUUAUAUAUGUCACAAAAUUUCUCCGCCUAUUCCUUUCUAGUCGAGCCUCUUGGUUUAGGCUGGAUCAAAAGAGAAGUACAUAAUCUCGUGAAUUUUCUGAUGUAAAUUGGGCACUCUUUUUCUAUUAUUUCUUUCUUCUUACGUAUCCUUAAUAACAAGUUGGUUACACCUACAACUGUUCAUCUUAGGUAAGAUGAAAGAGGUGUGAACAAGGAUUUGAAUUUGUAUGUUAGCAUUAGUCAAAUAUGCGAAAAUCCAAUGUUUUAUUAUAUAACUUGUAAAGAAAUUAAAAAUAAAAUCACUUGUUUCUUGAUUACUUAAUAUGAUAAGAAGUUGUUUUGCCAAAAUUCAACUCAGUUUUAUCUCGUUGAGGUAAACGAUGCACUCUUACUUGUUGUCCGAUUUGGUAGAAGUCGUUCAAAUGCUUACGGGGCUCGCGAAACUUUUAAAUAUGAAGUAUAUGUAAUAGAUGUAGUGAAAGGUAAUUUGAAAGAGAUUAACAACUUGGGAGAUUCAACAAUUUUUUUGGGUUUUAAUGCAGCAACUUGUAUCGACUCCACUAUAUUUACAGGGGUCAAACCCAAUCAUAUAUAUUUUACUGAUAAUUGUCAUGACCAUUACUAUGAUUUGGAAUGUGGCGGUGGAAAAGACACAGGAUGUUACAAUCUUGAAAAUGGAAAUAUUGAAUAUUUUUAUCCUAAAUUAUCACUAAGUUAUAUUUUCCCGCCAACUUGGGUAAUACCAUCAUUAUGAUGCCAACUUGGGAGGAGUUAUAGUGUGCUAUAUGUUCAAUAAUUUAUUUUUGUUGUUUUUGCAAUUUAUUAUAAUCUAGUAUUUGUUUUCUUUUGUUAUUUCAAUGAAUAAGAACUUUAUGUUAUUUGUUUUAUUGAGUUGAACUUUUUGUCGCUUGAUCGAAUUUAUUUUGAUUGACUUGGUUGCUUUGAUUACAAGUAUGAAAGAGAAGUGCAUGAUCUUGUGAAUCACUUGUGGUAUAAGUUUGUCGGUCCUUUUCUAUUACUGUAUUUCUUUAUUCUUCCAUAUCCUUAAUAGCAGGUUGGUAAUAGUUUCUAAACUUUGUAUUUCUCCCAUACCAAAUCACUUGAUCUUCAAAUUUUAUUCUUCCGUAUACAUGUCAUAUGUUGCGUUCUACUAUCAAAUCUCGACAACUGGGAGUUUGAUUGGAAUUAUUGGACACACAUUGUCCUCCAUGAUAUGAUUGGAAUUAUUGGGCACACGAACUUGCCAAAUACAACACUUUAGGGGAUGAACAAUAGACAGCAAACCUGAAGAGAAAAAACAGAGCAUAUACGAUCUGGAAAAAGAAAACAAAGCUUACGCUUUGAAAUAGACUCAACAAAACAAACAAGUAGAGAAUCAGAACGAGCAGUAACAACUAGCCAAUAUAACACAUGACUCGAAAAGUUGACCUCUUAAUUCAUUCGUUCAACUUGAGGUGAAAGAAUGAAGGAUAUGAGUCGAAUACUAAGCAAUAAUACAGAUUCAUAUUACUCCUUAUAUGAGAAUUUUUUAUUACCGUAAUUAAUUUGACUAUUCUAAAUCCUUGUUCAUUUAGGAUUUGGUUUAUUAAUAAAUAUGAAUAAAUCCCUCCAAUUGUUUUGUAAGUUUUUCCAUCCUUCUUCUUAGUAAGAGCUAUGGCGGACUGGGCAGGGCUAACCCAUGACCUCCUUCUUCUGAUUGCAAAGCGUGUUAAAGUGAUGGAAGAUUUCAUUGCUUUUCGUAGUGUUUGUACCUCAUGGCGAACGGCUUCUCCCAAGGACAAUUUUGAUAUUCUCUCUCCUCAACUCCCUUUACUAAUGCUCCCUGAUGAUCAUGAAAAUAAUUAUUAUCGACAAUUUUACUCUCUUUCCAAAGGUAAAGUCUCACGCAAAUUAUACCUCCCUGACGCUAAAGGGCGAGAUUGUUUCCCAACUCAUCACAUGGGAUGGCUUCUCACCCAAUCAUUAAACGGAGAAGAGGUCAAUUUGUUCAAUCCUUUCUCCGCUACCAAAAUUCAUCUUCCUAACCAAUUCGCGUUAAGAGCUUUACAGAGUCCUGACGACUUAAUUGAAGAACCUGAGUUCUAUCGCCACAUCAAACUGGCUACGCUAUCUGCAAAUCCAUCUUUUACAUCUGAUUAUGUACUCGUAAUAUCAUAUGACACAGAUGUUAAUUAUUUAGCUUAUUGGCUACCUGGAGAUAUCAAUUGGACUCUAUUUGACAUGGAUGAAAGACAUGGUGGAGUCUGCAAUAUGACUUACUACAAGGGCCAAUUUUAUCUUCUUACUUGGGGAGCUGAAAUCUGGGUUGUUGAUGUCCAAAGUCGUGAUCGACGCGUAGAGUUGCACUUGAUUUAUCUUAACAAUAACAAGGACUUGUUUCGACAUUCAAUUCAGUACUAUCUAGUUGGGGUAAACGAUGCACUCUUAUUUGUUGCCCGAUUUGGUAGAAAUCGUUCAAAUUAUAAUAGUGCCGUGGACACUUUUAAAUGUGAAGUAUAUGAAGUAGAUGAAAUGAAGUGUAAAUUGAAACGGAUUCACAACUUGGGAGAUUCAACAAUAUUUUUGGGUCUUAAUGGAGCAACUUCCAUCGACUCCACUAAAUUUACAAGAGCGAUAAAGCCUAAUCACAUAUAUUUUACCGAUGAUUGGGAUGAGCAAAACUUAUCGUUGGAAUGUGGUGGUGGAAAAGACACAGGAGUUUACAAUCUUGAAGAUGGAAAUAUUGAAUAUUUUUAUCCUGAAUUACCACUAAGUUGUAUUUGCCCGCCAACUUGGGUAAUACCAUCAUUGUGAUGCCAACUUGUAUGAGGAGCUAUUGUGCUAUAUGUUCAGUAAUUUAUUUAUUUUUGUUGUUUUUGCAGUUUAUCAUAAAGUUAGGUUCUAGUAUUUGUUUUCUUUCGUGAUUUCAAUCAAUAAGAACUUUAUGUUAUUUGUUUUAUUGAGUUGAACUUUUUGUAGCAUGAUUGAAUUUCAUUGGGAAGGGCUGCCCCAGCCCCCAUGACCUCCUUGUUCUGAUUGUGAAGCGUGUUAAAGUGAUGGAAGAUUUCAUUGCUUGUCAUGGUGUUUGUGCCUCAUGUCGUACUGCUUCUACCAAGGACAAUUUCGAUCUUUUCUCUAAUGCUCCUUGAUAAAAAAAGAUGAUGACGUGUAUCAAGAAUUUCUCUCUUUUCAAGGGUGAACUCUGGCGGAUAUUGUACCUCUCCAUGAUAUGAUCCACCAAGUUGGUGAAAUUAUUGAUGAUGAAUCUAACAAGAGUCUCCAAUACUUGAAGAUAGAGAAUGGUCAUUCUUGCCCUAUUUGCUGUUAUAAUAGCAGCUUGCUUCUGUCUUUUAAUAGUUCUUUUCAAAGGAAAAAUCUAAGAAACAUGAGUUAGUAGUUGUUCAAGGUAACAAUUUGACUAGUCCAACCUAACUUUUACUUUGAUAUUUUAUGUAUAAAUUCACUAUUCAUGUUACCAUAUUACAAACUCUUCUAUAUAGCCUGACAUUUGACCAAUUGAACAAUUUUACUUUAUCAAGCAAAAUAAAUUUAAAAAUCGUUACACAAAUUAAAUUAUUUCCAUAUUGCUUCUAAGUCGACAUGUUCAUAGUUUAUUGGUACAUUGAGUUAUUUUAUGGAAAAGCUACCUAAUUAGACAUACUUUUAUACCAUAUCUACUAAUUCAAUUUAAACUUUCAAAUAGUUACUUAUUAUCCCACUAUUAUCAGAUUUGAAAUCACAUACAUUUUGAGAUAUAUCAUUACUUAAAUAUAGCCUAAAUAGACACUAACUCAAUUAUCACCCUAAUUUACUCCUCCGCUACAAUUCAACCCGCUCUCUCUCUCCUAAUCGUUCUCCUCCCACAUUUUCUUAUAACAGUCAAAAAGGUGUAUAAAAUUAUAAAACAAAUGAGUUCGGAUAAUAUGACCUUAGUUUAGUUAAGGUGUGUAUUUGAAAUUUCGAUCAUAAUAUAGGGGAUACUUGUGCCUUAUCCCGAUACAAAAAGAUUAACACAUCUAUCUAAUCCUAUACAUAUAAAUUACUCAGUUCAAGAAUGGAAAGUUUUAAAAAUAUUACUAUACUUGGGUUGGUUUGGUACAUUUGGCACAUUCUUAUCCGUCGAUCCGAUAUUUAAUAAAUGUCGAGUCUGUGGAUAAGAUUAUGACACGUGUUCCUAUUUAGUCUUUCGUUAGUAUAAAUGGUAUAUAUGCACUCUAACUUUUAGACGGACGGUAUCUACAUACCAUUUACGAUAGUCCGGGAUAUAUUUGUCCUUUUUCCCUAAUUUAAAAAAGAAUAGAAACAAAAUGUAAUUAACUUUUAACACUAUGAAAUGUAUAUAUGUUUUUAACUACUAAUGCGCGAAAUUCCUCAAUUGAAGUCCAAAACAUAUUGGGCCUGCCACUCGUAUUCCUUUUUCUAUUCGAAAUCCUUGUGAAUAUAGGCUAGUCCUGCUUUGUCCCUUAAAUAUAAAACUCCCUCAAAUUGUUGCAAUUCUUACAAUCCCUUAUUUAGCUAUGGCUGACUGGGCAGGAAUGCCCCAUGACCUCCUUGUUCUGAUUGCAAAUCGUGUUAAAGUGAUUGAAGAUUUCAUUGCUUUCAAUUGUGUUUGUACCUCAUGGCGAACGGCUUCUCCCAAGGACAAUUUCGAUAUUUUCUCUCCUCAACUCCCUUUGCUAAUGCUCCCUGAUGAUCAUGAAAAUAAUUAUUAUCGAGAAUUUUACUCUGUUUCCAAAGGUAAAGUUUCCCGCAAAUUGUACCUCCCCGAGGCUAAAGGGCGAGAGUGCUUCCCAUCUCAUCAGGUGGGAUGGGUUCUCACCCAAUCAUUCGACGGAGAAAACGUUAAUUUGCUCAAUCCUUUCUCCCGUACCCAAAUUCAACUUCCUAAUCAAUUUGCCCUAAUUGACGAAGAUGAGGAAUUUAUCGAACAAGAAGAGUAUAACUACAUCAGAAAUGCUAUUUUAUCUGCUAAUCCUUCUUUUACUUCAGAUUAUGUACUCGUCAUUGCAUAUAAUACAGAUGUUAAUCAUUUUAGCCUUUUUGGCGACCUGGAGAUAUCAAUUGGAAUAAAUUCCGCAUCGGUGAAAGAGUAGGUGGAGUGUCCGAUAUGAUUUACUUCAAGGGCCAAUUUUAUCUUGUUACUUGGAGCGGUGCAUUAGGUAUUAUUGAUUUUCAAGGACCUAAUAGUGUUCCUGAAUCGAACAUAGUUUAUCUUAACGAUGAUAAGAAGUUGUUUCGACAACAUUCAACUCAGUUCUAUCUAGUUGACGUAAACGAUGCACUCUUACUUGUUGCCCGAUUUGGUAGAAGGCGUUCAAAUGCUAGCAGGGCUCUCGAAACUGUUAAAUUUGAAAUAUAUGAAUUAGAUGUAGUGAAAGGUAAUAUGAAAGAGAUUAACAACUUGGGAGAUUCAACAAUUUUUGUGGGCUGUAAUGGAGCAACUUCUAUCGACUCCACUAAAUUUACA